CCUACGGGUGGCAGCAGUGGGGAAUAUUGCACAAUGGGCGAAACCCUGAUGCAGCGACGCCGCGUGAGUGAAGAAGUAAUUCGUUAUGUAAAGCUCUAUCAGCAGGGACGAAAAUGACGGUACCUGAGUAAGAAUCCCCGGCCAACUACGUGCCAGCAGCCGCGGUAAUACGUAGGGGGCAAGAGUUAUCAGGAUGUUAUGGGGGUAAAGGGAGCGUAGACGGUGCGCCAAGUCUGGAGUGAAAUACCGCGGCUGAACUGCGGAACUGAUUUGGACACGGGCGAACUAGAGUGCUGGAGGGGUAAGCGGAAUUCCGAGUGAAGCGGUGAAAUGCGUAGAUAUUAGGAGGAACACCGGUGGCGAAGGCGGCUUACUGGACCGUAACUGACGUUGAGGCUCGAAAGCGUGGGGAGCAAACAGGAUUAGAUACCCUAGUAGUC
rnacentral:rRNA from 1 species